rnacentral:rRNA from 1 species
UACGUAGGGGGCAAGCGUUGUCCGGAUUUAUUGGGCGUAAAGAGCGCGUAGGCGGCCAUACAGGUCGGAUGUGAAAACUCGAGGCUCAACCUCGAGACGUCGGUUGAAACCGUAUGGCUAGAGUCCGGAAGAGGAGAGUGGAAUUCCUGGUGUAGCGGUGAAAUGCGCAGAUAUCAGGAAGAACACCCGUGGCGAAGGCGGCACUCUGGGACGGUACUGACGCUGAGACGCGAAAGCGUGGGGAGCGAACAGG